GAAAAACACCAAAAACAUUUGGAAAAGAUGACCUCUUCCUGCAUUCGUUCUAUUCCUUCGCGCGUUUAACAAGGCUAUUUUUUUUUUUGGAGAGGAAUUCAAGAUAUCGUGAAGCCAAAACCUCUUCACAGAAGGAAUCAAGAGAUUGUGUAGUCAGAAGUGUUUUUCCAAAACCUUUUCCAAGGAGGGAAUCCAAGAAAUCGAUCAAGAAGAAGAAGAGACCAAGAGCUCUUCUACUUCCCGCAUUCCUAAAAGCUUCAAACGAUUGUUGUUCGUCUGAGAUCGACUGAGAAAUCAACGGCAUACUAGUAUCGCUCACUUGAGAAGAUUCCAUUUUUGUGUGAAUCGGUGAUUGAGAGAGGGGAAGAUUUGUUUUCUUCGAUUGGAAAAGAUCCAAUAUCAUCCUUGCAUUUGUUCGUUGUUUGACCAAGAGAAAUCGACGACAUUCUAACCCUCUUAAUAGUUUUUCAUUAUGUAUAAUGGGUACUAGGGUUUUUUUUUUCCCAAUCCUCCCUCUUUUUGGGGUUUUAUGUUUGAUUUGGAGUUAUUAUUUGUGUUUCUGGGCUUGUUUUGUCUAGGUACUAGGGUUUUUGUCUGAUUAAUUGGAAUAGUCGAGGAUGUGGCAAACUCAAACUCAAGGAUUUUGUCUCAGCUAUCUAUGUCUGAGUCGAGUCAAGAAAUAAAAUAAUCUAACAUUUUGACUUUCCCUCUAGAAGGCUUAGUUGAAUUCUUGUUUUUAGAAGCAAGGUUUUGACGUGGUAGUAUGUGCUUUCUCAGAAAGUUAUAUUCUUUUAUGUCAAAUUUUGAUCCCUUAAUUUCCGUUGGUUUAUGCUUUAUGCACGAUGAACCAUAUAAAUCAAAAAGAGAAAAUGUUUCUGUUGGAUGCCAAUAACUAGAUUAUGUCUAUAAAUCUGAUUUUAAUGUUUCUGCUCACCGAUUUUAAUGUUUGAAAUGUGCCCACUCCCCUACCUGCAAAUGAAGAGAAAAAGGACAUUAAUAAAUCAUACCAAAAGCUUCAUCUACAUAUAUGCAUUAUUGUGAUAUGCUGAUUACAAUGUACUACAGUUGUAUUGAGCUGCAUUUUUGUACUUAGCAAGUUAAAGAUUGCCCACUCAGCAACUUGUUGUGCCUGCAUGUAUGAGCAUGUAACAGCCAAUAGAGUUAAAAAACAGAGUCAGAGCUAUAAAAAAAAUAACAAAACCAGUUCAUAAACAGAAACUCCCGUAACUCUUAAUUCGCCAGUUUUCCACAAUUAGUUUAUUGAAAAGUUCCUCUUGAAAACCUCAGUUCAACAUACCACGUUACCAACUCAACAUAUAAUCAGAUAUACAUGCUAUUGCUAACAUGUCCAUGCUAUUGAAUUCUACAUUUUCAAAGUUCGCUCAGCACAAUAACACCAACUAGUUAAUAAAGGACAUUACCCAAUGUUGGUCACAUGAUAAUUCCAACAGAGAAUAAUAUCCCAACAAAAUUGCCACAUAAACCAAUAGAAAUCUUUUUUAAUUGAUAAAAAUGUUUCUUAUUAAGAAAUUACCAAACUUUGUACAUAAAGGCAUCCCAAGAGGCCUGAUUGAAUUUUAUGAAUGAGCAGAUUUAGAUAGCAUCCUAAUGGCUGGUUGAAUUUUAGAAUCAAGAUUCUAAGAUUCAAACUCUAGAAUUGAACCCUGAAAAUCCCAUCUAUUCAAAUUCUAGAAUGGAGCAAGUACAUGAUCAUUGUAUGUUUUAUAGUAUUUUCCUACUGAUUAUUAUGAUGUUAGUUGCAUUUGAUAAUUCACAUUUUGUUUAAAUAAUUUCUAAUUGUCCAACUGGAGCUAUUGUACAUUUUUAGCAUUACUAUAACUUCUUUGUCGUCUAUAGUUUACACUUUCUGUAUGGUCAUUUGAUUAAACCAUUAAAUAAAUUUCAAUGGAAGCAAUAGCCAGUAAGAACUCUUUAUAAAGUGUUCUCAGCAUCAUUUUUUCAGUUCAUGGUAAUUAGUUAGGAGAAGGUCGGUAGGGGAUAGAGGAGAGAGAAAGGGUUGGGAGGUUCACAGUGGAGCCCACUAUACAUCUUGUGAAAUUCAGCUUGCUUCUUUGUGAUUUUGAAUAUGGAGAUGUGAUGAAGGAGAGAUGCCUUAAGAGUGUUGCAACUAGUUCAUUGUCAUGUAGAAUGUCACUAUUGACGUUCUUUGGUGUCCAAGUGCUGAAAUUACAUCAGGACUACUAAUAAGGAAUCUUGAUGAAGUGCUUCUCUUGGUUAUUUAUUUUUGUUUCAUUGGGACAAGGCUUGCCAGUAUUUUUGCAGAUUCAGGAUAUAUAAUUGGGAAUGCAUGCACUUUAGUUUCAGUGUCAGCCUGAAAACCACUAUUGUCCCAUUGAAUCUAAACAUUAUGAUUGACUUUAGUUAACUCCAUAUCAUAGGGACAAGGCUUUGUUGAAUUCAGUUGAGAAAGUUUAUUCUUUCAUCAAAGGAAUGUUUAUAGCAAUUAGGUACUCUUACUUGUUUUGUUAAUUUUUGUAUUUGAUUUUUUGUAAUUCUUCAGAUUUCCAUUUUCUUCUUGCCUAAGCAUAUUCAGCAAUUCUAUUUGCUCUUUGUCAACAAGCUUAAGCCCAGUAACAGGGCUAUAGUUGUUGAGGGAAAGAGAAGCUGAACUUUCAACAUUGCACAGUACAUUGGCAAUGAAAGGACAAGGUAAUGUGCAUUGAGUCAACAUCACAGAAAUUUUAUACUAUAGUCAUGUUGGUGUUUAUCUUUCACUAACUUAUUCGUUAAUAUUACUCAUUAAACAUGCAAAUGGGCAUCACCUGUCAGAAGACCAAGUUCUAACACUCUUUGACAGAGUAAAUGGGGUUGGAAUCCUUUUUGCAGAGACAGAACUCAGAAACACAGAGACCCAUUAUUCAGGUCUUUCCUUCUUGGGAUGUUCUCUCUCUCUCUCUCUUUCUCUCACUCACUCACUCUCACACACACAUACCUGGAUGGAGAUAAGGCAUGAUGCAGUUUAACAAAUUUUCCUACCCAUGAUUUCAUUACAGUAGGAAAAUCCCAAUUUUUGAAUCUUUUAUAUAUGGUGACUUGCUUGCUGAAUAAAUAAAUUAUUUUUCUUCUGGUGGAUCAAUGAUGAAGCUGAUUGGUUGGUUAAAAAUAGAAAAAGCUUGUUGAUUGAUCUUUUUAUGAUUGGUAAGUGUUGGUUGAUGUUGGAUAUCCGAUAUUGUGAAAUUCUCUGUUCCAUCAGAAUUUAUCAAGGACAAUACAAGGCAUUGUCAUUAAAUAGAAAGCACCUAACCAAGACUUACAACCCAGCUUAAAGCUACCCCUUUUACCUAUAAACCAAUCAGUUUUGAUAUGGCGCUCCUGGGAUUGAAGUCACCUACACUACAGAAAAAAUGAAACUGCCGCUAAAAGAAGGAUGGAGUGAUGGGACCAGUAAUAUAAUAGCUCGGGGAUGCCAUAUAAUCAAUUUUCAAUUUCAGCCUAGAGUUACAGAUCCAGUCCCAGGCCUGGUAUUUCCCCGGAUAAGUAGAGCUAGCUCCCAUGAUUCUUCCUGUGAGAAGGAUUCUGUUUUAUUUUUAAUAAGAAGAUUUGAUAUCAAAUCUUAUGAUUUCAUAUUCUUAUUAAUAAACUUAUGAUUGGUAACCAUUCAAAACAAGAUGUUUUUUAUAGUAUUAGGUUACCAAAAAAUGGUCAUUCAACAUAAAAGUAUGAAACAUCCAUUCUUAAGAAAAUUUAAAGAAAUCUUUUUAAGUUAUAAACUUAUAAUUAACUCUUCCUGUCUUCCAGGGUAGUUACCUAAAAUAAAUUCCAUUUAAGAUGAUAAUGGAUAUUUUACCAAAUAGAAUUCAGAUAUGAUCACAGUAACUUUUGAUCAGAUUUAGGUUAGGCAAUAUUGGUUUGGAAUGAAGACAAACAUCAAUGUGAUUGGGGACAACUGAGGAUUUCAACCACUUGUGACACAAAUGUGGCACAAAAAUAGGGAACCCUACCUUGUCUUGGUUGGGGUUCUCCAAAUUCUAGUGGAAGAGCCAAAAAUGAAUUGAGAACUGAAGAUUGGCAACUGAAAGAGUGACCUAUCAAAUCACAGACAUGGAAAGAAUGGACUAAAGAAACAGAUGGGAGUGGCUGGUGUGGAAAUGAUCAGCAAUCUGACUUGAAAUUCAAAAGGAGCUCAUAGUAAUUCAUUCAGGGGCAUGUAUGCCCUGAUGCAUAGGUCAUUGGAUGUAAAAAUAUUGGAUUAGUUAGAAAAUAUUUAAUAGUUACUACUGAGUACUGACUAAAUGGGGGACUUUUUUUCCAUUGCUGAUGUUGAGAGUUUUGUAUCUUGUGCAGCCUAGUACAUCUUUGGUAUCGAGGAAGCCACUGCAACCUGAUAAUAAAAAGCAUAUUGAUGAAGAAGAUGCUUGUUCUGUUGCUUCCUUGUAUCCUUUGACCCUUCUCAACCUAAAGUCUAAAUAAUUCUCUUUUAGUUAUCUGUUUAUAACUUUUUUUUUUUUUUGUUUCUGGAUCUGGGUUAUCCUUGGCCAUACUUAGUACUGCAGCAUCUGUUCAAGCAUUAAAACCCAGGAAAACAAUUGCAUCAGCUCCUAAAUUCCGAUGCACUGAGCAUGCUGAAAAACGGAAGGAGAGUUAGAGGAGAAACACCAGGCUCUGGAGGCAGAGAGAAUCCAAGUUGAAGCUAGGACUAUGGGAAUAAGUCUAUACUUGGGAUUGAAUGAAGUGUGUUCCCUUCGGAAAGGUGUUGGGAGAUCCAGCUACUAGCAGAAGCAUAGAAAAGGAUGUACUUGAAAGACAUUUUAUUAUUGAUUGAAAGACAGAUUUGUGAUGCUAAUAUCAUUCAUCAUGUGCCACCUUUUCUCUUCCCACAUUCGAAACUGCGAUUUUCAUAUUAGCUGAUUCAUUUUCUUAAUCUUUCAGCUCCAUUCUCUUUAACGGGUACAAAUAGGUGGUUUCAAGCUUCCAUCAGAUCUGGGGAAGGGAAAAAUCCAUACCUCUUGUCUUGUUUCAAAGAAUUGCAUCUUCCCAAGUGUGAAGUUUGCCUUCAAUUUUGUUGCUGCUUCUUCAAUGUCUGCUUUGAAACAACCAAACCGUUAGAGUUGUGGCCAUCAUAGCUGAAGGUGUUCCAGAAUCAGGUACCAUGCAGUUGAUUGCAUAUGCAUGGUUGAAUAAUAAGAAGGACAGCCAUGCCAGUCAAACGAUUCCUCAGAAACUGUGCUCUGGACAAUCAUCCGAGGCCUAAGAAGACUGAUUUCUCUAGGAAUUUUGAAAGCUACACUCAUAUCUGAUUCGAAGGGAGUUCUUUUGAAGAUAAAAGGAGCCACUGAAAACAUUAGAUCGAUGGAAUGAAAAAGUUUUGCUGGAUCAUGUCAAAUAUCUUUUGAGAUUUUUU